rnacentral:rRNA from 1 species
GACGAACGCUGGCGGCGUGCUUAACACAUGCAAGUCGAACGAUGAACCUCGAAAUGAUUUCUUCGGAAAGAUUUUUGAGAGGAUUAGUGGCGAACGGGUGAGUAACUCGUGAGCAACCUGCCUUAGACAAGGGGAUAGCCUCGGGAAACCGUGAUUAAUACCCUAUGGGACUCCACUUACGAGUGUAAGAGAAGUUAAAGCUAUUGCGGUCUAAGAUGGGCUCGCGUCUGAUUAGCUAGUUGGUGAGAUAAAAGCCCACCAAGGCGACGAUCAGUAACCGGCUUGAGAGAGUGAACGGUCACAUUGGAACUGAGACACGGUCCAAACUCCUACGGGAGGCAGCAGUGGGGAAUAUUGCACAAUGGGGGCAACCCUGAUGCAGCGACGCCGCGUGAGCGAUGAAGGAAUUCGUUUCGUAAAGCUCUGUCCUUGGAGAAGAUAAUGACGGUAACCAAGGAGGAAGCACCGGCUAAAUACGUG